rnacentral:rRNA from 1 species
GAUGAACGCUGGCGGCGUGCCUAAUACAUGCAAGUCGAGCGAACAGAUAAGGAGCUUGCUCCUUUGAAGUUAGCGGCGGACGGGUGAGUAACACGUGGGUAACCUACCUAUAAGACUGGGAUAACUUCGGGAAACCGGAGCUAAUACCGGAUAACAUUUAGAACCGCAUGGUUCUAAAGUGAAAGAUGGUUUUGCUAUCACUUAUAGAUGGACCCGCGCCGUAUUAGCUAGUUGGUAAGGUAACGGCUUACCAAGGCGACGAUACGUAGCCGCACUGAGGGGGUGAUCGGCCACACUGGAAAUGAGACACGGUCCAGAGUCCUACGGGAGGCAGCAGUAGGGAAUCUUCCGCAAUGGGCGAAAGCCUGACGGAGCAACGCCGCGUGAGUGAUGAAGGGUUUCGGCUCGUAAAACUCUUUUAGUAGGGAAGAACAAAUGUGUAAGUAAAUGUUCACAUCUUGACGGUACCUAAUCAGAAAGCCACGGCUAACUACGUGCCAGCCGCCGCCGUAA